rnacentral:pre_miRNA from 1 species
AUAGUACUCCCUCUGUCCCAAAAUAAGUGACUCAAAUUUGUAUUAACUUUGUAUAUUAACUUUAAUACAAAGUUAAUAUAAAUUUAAGUCAUUUAUUUUGGGACGGAGGGGGUAUAUA